GAUGAACGCUGGCGGCGUGCCUAAUACAUGCAAGUCGAGCGAACAGAUGAGGAGCUUGCUCCUCUGACGUUAGCGGCGGACGGGUGAGUAACACGUGGAUAACCUACCUAUAAGACUGGGAUAACUACGGGAAACCGAAGCUAAUACCGGAUAAUAUAUUGAACCGCAUGGUUCAAUAGUGAAAGACGGUUUUGCUGUCACUUAUAGAUGGAUCCGCGCCGCAUUAGCUAGUUGGUAAGGUAACGGCUUACCAAGGCAACGAUGCGUAGCCGACCUGAGAGGGUGAUCGGCCACACUGGAACUGAGACACGGUCCAGACUCCUACGGGAGGCAGCAGUAGGGAAUCUUCCGCAAUGGGCGAAAGCCUGACGGAGCAACGCCGCGUGAGUGAUGAAGGUCUUCGGAUCGUAAAACUCUGUUAUUAGGGAAGAACAAAUGUGUAAGUAACUAUGCACGUCUUGACGGUACCUAAUCAGAAAGCCACGGCUAACUACGUG
rnacentral:rRNA from 1 species